UACGUAGGGGGGCGAGCGUUGUCCGGAAUUAUUGGGCGUAAAGGGCUCGUAGGCGGUCUGUUGCGUCGGGAGUGAAAAACUUACAGCUUAACUGUGAGCGUGCUUCCGAUACGGGCAGACUUGAGGUAUUCAGGGGGAGAACGGAAUUCCUGGUGUAGCGGUGAAAUGCGCAGAUAUCAGGAAGAACACCAAUGGCGAAGGCAGCUCUCUGGGACGGUACUGACGCUGAGACGCGAAAAGCGUGGGGAGCGAACAGG
rnacentral:rRNA from 1 species